GACGAACGCUGGCGGCGUGCUUAACACAUGCAAGUCGAACGGAAAGGCCCUGCUUUUGUGGGGUGCUCGAGUGGCGAACGGGUGAGUAACACGUGAGUAACCUGCCCUUGACUUUGGGAUAACUUCAGGAAACUGGGGCUAAUACCGGAUAGGAGCUCCUGCUGCAUGGUGGGGGUUGGAAAGUUUCGGCGGGUGGGGAUGGACUCGCGGCUUAUCAGCUUGUUGGUGGGGUAGUGGCUUACCAAGGCUUUGACGGGUAGCCGGCCUGAGAGGGUGACCGGCCACAUUGGGACUGAGAUACGGCCCAGACUCCUACGGGAGGCAGCAGUGGGGAAUAUUGCACAAUGGGCGGAAGCCUGAUGCAGCAACGCCGCGUGCGGGAUGACGGCCUUCGGGUUAUAAACCGCUUUCGCCUGUGACGAAGCGUGAGUGACGGUAAUGGGUAAAGAAGCACCGGCUAACUACGUG
rnacentral:rRNA from 1 species